AACGAACGCUGGCGGCAGGCCUAACACAUGCAAGUCGAGCGAGCAUUUCGGUUCUAGCGGCGGACGGGUUAGUAACGCGUUGUAACGUGCCCUUUUCUUCGGUAUAGUCCUUGUAAACUUGUGGUAAUACCGCAUACGCCCUUUUGGGGUAAGAUUUAUCGGGGAAGGAUCGUCCGGCGUUGGAUUAGUUAGUUGGUUGGGUAAUGGCCCACCAAGCCGACGAUCCAUAGCUGGUUUGAGAGGAUGAUAAGCCACACUGGGACUGAGACACGGCCCAGACUACUACGGGAGGCAGCAGUGGGGAAUCUUAGAAAAUGGGGGCAAACCUGAACAAGCAAUGAGGGGUGAGUGAUGAAGGCCUUAGGGUAGUAAAGCUCUAUCAGCUGGGAAGAUAAUGACGGUACCAGAAGAAGAAGCACCGGCUAACUACGUG
rnacentral:rRNA from 1 species